UCUCCCGUGAGGGAGCAGUCUCGUGUGAUACGUAUAACACACAACGAGGGUUGCGUUCGUUUCCCCACUUAAGGGAACAGCUCAAGCCACGAACUGACGACGGCCAUGCAUCACCUGCUAUACACCCUCGAAGGCUUCCUAAGUUUCCCUAGGCGUGCAGUAUAGUUUCUAGUCUUGGUAAGGUUCCUCGCUUAACGACGAAUUAAGCCACGCGCUCCACCGCUUGUGCGAGCCCCCGUCUAUUCCUUUGAGUUUUAAUCUUGCGAUCGUACUACCCAGGCGGUCCGCUUAAUGCGUUAGCUUCGCCUCGGAGAGGGUCGAUACUCCCCAAAGCCAGCGGACAACGUUUAGGGCGUGGACUAC
rnacentral:misc_RNA from 1 species